GAGUGGAGAGCAUAGAUUAUGUGUUCAGUUUCGGCCUGAGAGAUAACUUUUUAGAGUUUCUGCUUA
rnacentral:tRNA from 1 species